rnacentral:ncRNA from 1 species
GGAAAAUAAAAGGGGUGCUGGAGCGAUCCGGCUGAGACGAGGCGAGUCCCCGAACCCUGGAAGCUGAUCUGGAUAAUGCCAGCGUAGUCAACUGUUAAGGCCCUGCC